AGAGUUUGAUCCUGGCUCAGGAUGAACGCUAGCUACAGGCUAACACAUGCAAGUCGAGGGGUAGCAGGGUAGCAAUACCGCUGACGACCGGCGCACGGGUGAGUAACACGUAUCCAACCUUCCCAUAACUCAGGGAUAGCCUUUACGAAAGAAAGAUUAAUACCUGAUAGUACUUUUUCAAGGCAUCUUGAGAAAGUUAAAGAUUUAUUGGUUAUGGAUGGGGAUGCGUUCCAUUAGAUAGUUGGUGAGGUAACGGCUCACCAAGUCUUCGAUGGAUAGGGGUUCUGAGAGGAAGGUCCCCCACAUUGGUACUGAGACACGGACCAAACUCCUACGGGAGGCAGCAGUGAGGAAUAUUGGUCAAUGGGCGAGAGCCUGAACCAGCCAAGUAGCGUGAAGGAUGAAGGUCCUAUGGAUUGUAAACUUCUUUUAUAGUAGAAUAAAGUGAUCCACGUGUGGAUUUUUGUAUGUAUACUAUGAAUAAGGAUCGGCUAACUCCGUGCCAGCCGCUGC
rnacentral:rRNA from 1 species